rnacentral:rRNA from 1 species
GUUGUAUGGUUAAGUGACUAAGCGUACACGGUGGAUGCCUUGGCAGUCAGAGGCGAUGAAAGACGUAGUAACUUGCGAUAAGCCCAGAUUAGGUAGUAACAACCAUUUGAGUCUGGGAUUUCUGAAUGGGGAAACCCACGUGCAUAAGCACGUAUCCUUACCUGAAUACAUAGGGUAAGGAGGCGAACCGGGGGAACUGAAACAUCUAAGUACCCCGAGGAAAAGAAAUCAACCGAGAUUCCGAAAGUAGCGGCGAGCGAAAUUGGACUAGCCCUUAAGCUUUACACGCGUUAGACGAACGGUCUGGAAAGUCCGACGAUACAGGGUGAUAGUCCCGUAGUUGACGACGUGUGUUCAGUGAAAUCGAGUAGGGCGGGACACGUGAUAUCCUGUCUGAAUAUGGGGGGACCAUCCUCCAAGGCUAAAUACUACUGACUGACCGAUAGUGAACCAGUACCGUGAGGGAAAGGCGAAAAGAACCCCUGUGAGGGGAGUGAAAUAGAACCUGAAACCGUGUACGUACAAGCAGUAGGAGCAGGCUUGUCCUGUGACUGCGUACCUUUUGUAUAAUGGGUCAGCGACUUAUAUUCAGUGGCAAGGUUAACCAUCUAGGGGAGCCGUAGGGAAACCGAGUCUUAACUGGGCGUUCAGUCUCUGGAUAUAGACCCGAAACCAGGUGAUCUAGCCAUGGGCAGGUUGAAGGUUGAGUAACAUCAACUGGAGGACCGAACCGACUAAUGUUGAAAAAUUAGCGGAUGACUUGUGGCUAGGGGUGAAAGGCCAAUCAAACCUGGAGAUAGCUGGUUCUCCCCGAAAGCUAUUUAGGUAGCGCCUCGGACGAAUACUACUGGGGGUAGAGCACUGUUAAGGCUAGGGGGUCAUCCCGACUUACCAACCCUUUGCAAACUCCGAAUACCAGUAAGUACUAUCCGGGAGACACACGGCGGGUGCUAACGUCCGUCGUGGAGAGGGAAACAACCCAGACCGCCAGCUAAGGUCCCAAAUUACUACUAAGUGGGAAACGAUGUGGGAAGGCUCAGACAGCCAGGAUGUUGGCUUAGAAGCAGCCAUCAUUUAAAGAAAGCGUAAUAGCUCACUGGUCGAGUCGGCCUGCGCGGAAGAUGUAACGGGGCUAAGUAGUAAACCGAAGCUGCGGCAAUAUACUUUUGUAUAUUGGGUAGGGGAGCGUUCUGUAAGCGGUUGAAGGUGUGUGGUAACGCAUGCUGGACGUAUCAGAAGUGCGAAUGCUGACAUGAGUAACGAUAAAGGGGGUGAAAAACCUCCUCGCCGGAAGACCAAGGGUUCCUGUCCAACGUUAAUCGGGGCAGGGUAAGUCGACCCCUAAGGCGAGGCCGAAAGGCGUAGUCGAUGGGAAACGGGUUAAUAUUCCCGUACUUCUUACAAUUGCGAUGGGGGGACGGAGAAGGCUAGGUGGGCCUGGCGACGGUUGUCCAGGUUCAAGUGCGUAGGCUUAAGAGUUAGGUAAAUCCGGCUCUUUCUAAGGCUGAGACACGACGUCGAGCAUCUACGGAUGUGAAGUCAUUGAUGCCAUGCUUCCAGGAAAAGCCUCUAAGCUUCAGAUUGUAAGGAAUCGUACCCCAAACCGACACAGGUGGUCGGGUAGAGAAUACCAAGGCGCUUGAGAGAACUCGGGUGAAGGAACUAGGCAAAAUGGUACCGUAACUUCGGGAGAAGGUACGCUCUCGACGGUGAAGUCCCUUGCGGAUGGAGCUAUUGAGAGUCGCAGAUACCAGGUGGCUGCAACUGUUUAUUAAAAACACAGCACUGUGCAAAAUCGUAAGAUGACGUAUACGGUGUGACGCCUGCCCGGUGCCGGAAGGUUAAUUGAUGGGGUUAGACUUCGGUCGAAGCUCUUGAUCGAAGCCCCGGUAAACGGCGGCCGUAACUAUAACGGUCCUAAGGUAGCGAAAUUCCUUGUCGGGUAAGUUCCGACCUGCACGAAUGGCGUAAUGAUGGCCACGCUGUCUCCACCCGAGACUCAGUGAAAUUGAAAUCGCUGUGAAGAUGCAGUGUACCCGCGGCUAGACGGAAAGACCCCGUGAACCUUUACUACAGCUUGGCACUGAACAUUGACCCUACAUGUGUAGGAUAGGUGGGAGGCUUUGAAGCACGUACGCCAGUAUGUGUGGAGCCGUCCUUGAAAUACCACCCUUGUAGUGUUGAUGUUCUAACGUCGACCCCUAAUCGGGGUUGCGGACAGUGCCUGGUGGGUAGUUUGACUGGGGCGGUCUCCUCCCAAAGAGUAACGGAGGAGCACGAAGGUGGGCUAAUCACGGUUGGACAUCGUGAGGUUAGUGCAAUGGCAUAAGCCCGCUUGACUGCGAGAAUGACAAUUCGAGCAGGUGCGAAAGCAGGUCAUAGUGAUCCGGUGGUUCUGAAUGGAAGGGCCAUCGCUCAACGGAUAAAAGGUACUCCGGGGAUAACAGGCUGAUACCGCCCAAGAGUUCAUAUCGACGGCGGUGUUUGGCACCUCGAUGUCGGCUCAUCACAUCCUGGGGCUGAAGUCGGUCCCAAGGGUAUGGCUGUUCGCCAUUUAAAGUGGUACGCGAGCUGGGUUUAGAACGUCGUGAGACAGUUCGGUCCCUAUCUGCCGUGGGCGUUGGAAGAUUGAAGGGGGCUGCUCCUAGUACGAGAGGACCGGAGUGGACGAACCUCUGGUGUUCGGGUUGUGUCGCCAGACGCAUUGCCCGGUAGCUAAGUUCGGAAUCGAUAACCGCUGAAAGCAUCUAAGCGGGAAGCGAGCCCUGAGAUGAGUCUUCCCUGAUACUUUAAGUAUCCUAAAGGGUUGUCGGAGACUACGACGUUGAUAGGUCAGGUGUGUAAGUGCUGUGAGGCAUUGAGCUAACUGAUACUAAUUGCCCGUGAGGCUUAACCAUACAACACCCAAGGGGUUU